rnacentral:tRNA from 1 species
AUUCAAAUAGCUUAAAUAUUACAGCAUAACAUUGAAGAUGUUAGGGUAAUUAAAUAAUUUUUGAAUA